GGAAAACAAAAAUAAAACAAACUGGGGGUCAGAGCCCAAUUCAGAAAUCCACUCUAAACUUAGAAGAGUAAUGGGAGGCAACUGCAUGGGACUGGACAAAUCUGAAGAUUACUAGAAGCUAUUUUGUAGAAUUUGGCUAGAAUUGAAGUUAUGCAUUCUUGGCAAGAAUGUCACAAUAGUGAAGAUGUGGCCUUACUAAUGCAUCACACUGGAAGGACUCCAAACUCUGAGUGGGGUGAAGCAAAGACACAUAAACUAAACAGAACAAAAGCAUUUGGAGCACAUUCAUUGCCAUGGGGGAGCCUUGAAGAUACUGACACCUAAUUCGCGCUAAUGAGACAUCUGAGGCUUUCCUGGUUUCUGGUAUUUUUAGAGCCUAGUUCUCCAACUUCCUUUCUAAACUUGUGAGUUUUCCUAAAGUCUUUCAAUAAAUA